rnacentral:lncRNA from 10 species
GGGGGUCGCUGGUCGCUCCUGGAGUCGUCUCACAAGGCCUUUCCCUCCCUCCUUUCUCCAAAAGAGGAGCCCGCAGGCGACACACCCAGCACUCUGCGAGGCCCACCAAGGCCCUGAUUCCCGAGUCCUGGAGCGAGUUGCAGCGCCCUGGCUGCAGCUGACCACUGACCUAGAGAUGUGCCUUUGCGAAGUGGCAGCGCAUGGAGAAACAGUAGCGGGUCGCUGGGGCCAGAGCCGCCCACCGGGUAGCCAGGAGCAGGCCGGAGCGAGGAGGCUCCCGGGGUGAGACCGGGGCACCCUGAACAUCAUAAAGGACUCAGACCUUGGCAUUCCCGACGUCAUAAAGGACUCACACGGAUGCGGAAACCGAGACGGGCUGGAUGGAAAACUCUUUCCAGACAGACUCCGGGGCCCUCAACUGGUCUCCGACCUUCCCCUGCAACCUGCGACACCUGCCAUUUUCCCAUCUUAGGCUCCAGAAGCAGAAUCAAGUGGGAUGUCUUGGAAGAAAAACAAACAAAAGGCCCACUAGGUGGAGUGAAAUGGAUCAGGAGCAAUUAUGUUCAAUUUCACCUUUAAGUUUUCUCAAAAGGAGGAGCAUUAAGAAUCAGCCACCUUAGUACAUACUUAAAGGUAAAUAUUACAUUUAAGAAAAUCCUUGUUAUCUUAAUGUGGCACUGAGAAAAUACUAUCAAGUACAGCACGUGGACUAAGUUAGAACAUUAAAUACACAGGAUCUCUUGAUAGAAUUAUCCUCAGACUUUCCAGUUUUAAUCUUCUAGAUUUACUGAAACCUGAUCCUGUCCCCGCUGAUGAAACAUCAGAGGAAUGGGAUCCUGUAGGUGAAGAUCAUCAGCUUAUAAAAUCCUGUUGCCAUCAAUGGGGGUAGCAGGAAAAUGAUGAAGAUUGGUUAAGGGGCCAGUGGACUCAGCAUUGAAAUGAAUCAUGGACUUGAAGCCAAAAGACUCAGUUUGUGUCCCAGCUCUCUCAAGCAAAGCCCCCAAGUCCCAGUUUCCUCAUCUAUAAAAAAUAAUAAAAAUACUUAAUGGACAAAGUUGUGUGGGAAUCAAAUGAGAUAAAGUAUGCGCUGCAUAUGCCCUAAAGUCUUAUUUAAAUAAAGGCAUUCUUUUCAUCUGAGAAAUUGAAGAAAAAGAUGCCCUGAACAAGAAAGACAGGAGAAAAGAUUUUUUUUUUUUUUAAUGAAGGAUAAAAUGAUGAAAUCCCCCCAGGAGAAGAUAGUCAUUGGACAAAAGGUGGGUCAUUCUCACGUUGACCAAG